UCCGUUGUAGCAAUACGAUGGAAAGUCUAGUGGCGAACGGGUGCUUAACACGUGGGCAACCUGCCGAGAAGUGGGGGAUAGCUCGCCGAAAGGCGAAUUAAUACCGCAUGUGAUUAGAGUGGACAUCCAUUCGAAAUUAAAGUCGGGGCAACCUGACGCUUCUUGUGGGGCCCGCGGCCUAUCAGCUAGUUGGUGAGGUAACGGCUCACCAAGGCUUUGACGGGUAGCUGGUCUGAGGGGACGACCAGCCACACUGGGACUGAGACACGGCCCAGACACCUACGGGUGGCAGCAGUCGAGAAUUUUUGACAAUGGGGGAAACCCUGAUCGAGCGACGCCGCGUGGAGGAUGAAGGUCUUCGGAUUGUAAACUCCUGUCAUUGGGGAACAAUGCGUGACGCUUAACUGCCGUUGCGUUGAUAGUACCCGAAGAGGAAGAGACGGCUAACUCUGUGCCAGCAGCCGCGGUAAUACAGAGGUCUCAAGCGUUGUCCGGAUUCAUUGGGCGUAAAGGGUGCGUAGGCGGCGCGGUAAGUCGGGUGUGAAAUCUCGGAGCUUAACUCCGAAACUGCAUUCGAUACUGCCGUGCUUGAGGACUGGAGAGGAGACUGGAAUUCUCGGUGUAGCA
rnacentral:rRNA from 1 species